rnacentral:tRNA from 1 species
GGAAAUUUGGUUUAGUGGUGAAGGCAUCAGGCUAGAAACCAGGAAAGUGUGAGUUCUAGUCCUGCAUUAUCCA